UAGGGAAUCUUCGGCAAUGGACGAAAGUCUGACCGAGCAACGCCGCGUGAGUGAAGAAGGUUUUCGGAUCGUAAAACUCUGUUGUUAGAGAAGAACAAGGACGUUAGUAACUGAACGUCCCCUGACGGUAUCUAACCAGAAAGCCACGGCUAACUACGUGCCAGCAGCCGCGGUAAUACGUAGGUGGCAAGCGUUGUCCGGAUUUAUUGGGCGUAAAGCGAGCGCAGGCGGUUUCUUAAGUCUGAUGUGAAAGCCCCCGGCUCAACCGGGGAGGGUCAUUGGAAACAGGGAGACUUGAGUGCAGAAGAGGAGAGUGGAAUUCCAUGUGUAGCGGUGAAAUGCGUAUAUAUAUGGAGGAACACCAGUGGCGAAGGCGGCUCUCUGGUCUGUAACUGACGCUGAGGCUCGAAAGCGUGGGGAGCAAACAGG
rnacentral:rRNA from 1 species